UACGUAGGGUCCGAGCGUUGUCCGGAAUUAUUGGGCGUAAAGGGCGCGUAGGCGGUGCGGUAAGUCACCUGUGAAACCUCUAGGCUCAACCUAGAGCCUGCAGGCGAAACUGCCGUGCUUGAGGGUGGGAGAGGUGCGUGGAAUUCCCGGUAUAGCGGUGAAAUGCGUAGAUAUCGGGAGGAACACCUGUGGCGAAAGCGGCGCACUGGACCACAUCUGACGCUGAGGCGCGAAAGCUAGGGGAGCAAACAGG
rnacentral:rRNA from 1 species